GUGCCAGCAGCCGCGGUAAGACGAACCGUCCUAACGUUGUUCGGAAUCACUGGGCUUAAAGGGCGCGUAGGCGGUCGGCAAAGUUAGGGGUGAAAUCUUUCGGCUUAACCGGAAAAGUGCCUUUAAAACUAGUCGACUCGAGCGAGAUAGGGGCAACUGGAACUUCCGGUGGAGCGGUGAAAUGCGUUGAUAUCGGAAGGAACGCCGGUGGCGAAAGCGAGUUGCUGGAUCUCUUCUGACGCUGAGGCGCGAAAGCUAGGGGAGCAAACGGGAUUAGAUACCCUCGUAGUCC
rnacentral:rRNA from 1 species